AAAUUUAACAAUAUUCACAUUAUUUAUCCCUCUUGUUGGCAGGAAAAGAAGAAACAUCUCUGAAAUAUCCUGUCUGGUCAUUUAGAAGGAAGAAAAUACAGCUCCCAGGGGAGGUGUUGAUCAGUCUUUCCAAAAGCAUCCACAACAUUUAUGGACAAACCUUUUAGAGCAGUGAAAAAAUGUCUGUGAUAAAGAGAUCCUGAACUACUCUGACACCAGCAGGCAAGUUUCUUCAUGAGUUGUUAUUGUGCUGCCAAGAUCUUGAGUUCCUGUUUGCUUAUUAUCAUUGAUGAGCUUGUUGCCUGGCUAACAGAUAACUGUGGCUGCAAAUCACAUCUCUUCUGCAGUUUGUUCUUUUGGAACACCAG
rnacentral:lncRNA from 1 species